rnacentral:rRNA from 1 species
CAAACUGGGAUUAGAUACCCCACUAUGCCUAACCAUAAACAUAAAAAUUUUUCAACAAAAAUUUUGCCAGAGAACUACUAGCAACAGCUUAAAACUCAAAGGACUUGACGGUGCUUACAUCCACCUAGAGGAGCCUGUUCUGUAAUCGAUAAACCCCGAUCUACCUCACCGUUUCUUGCUAAUCCAGUCUAUAUACCGCCAUCUCUAGCAAACCCAAUUAUGGUAUAAAAGUAAGCACAAGUAUUAAUAUAAGAACGUUAGGUCAAGGUAUAACUCAUGAAACGGAAAGCAAUGGGCUACAUUUUCUUUAUAAGAAAAUUAUUUACGGAAACCCUUAUGAAAUUUUGGGUUUCAAGGAGGAUUUAGCAGUAAAUUAAGAAUAGAGAGCUUAAUUG